rnacentral:rRNA from 1 species
UGCCAGCCGCCGCGGUAAUACGGAGGGUGCAAGCGUUGUUCGGAAUUAUUGGGCGUAAAGCGCGUGUAGGCGGUUCGUUAAGUCUGAUGUGAAAGCCCGGGGCUCAACCCCGGAAGUGCAUUGGAAACAGCAAGACUUGAAUACGGUAGAGGAGAGAGGAAUUCCUGGUGUAGAGGUGAAAUUCGUAGAUAUCAGGAGGAACACCGAUGGCGAAGGCAUCUCUCUGGGUCGAUAUUGACGCUGAGGUGCGAAAGCGUGGGGAGCAAACAGGAUUAGAUA